rnacentral:rRNA from 1 species
AUUGAACGCUGGCGGCAGGCUUAACACAUGCAAGUCGAGCGAGCGGCGGACGGGUGAGUAAUGUCUGGGAAACUGGCUGAUGGAGGGGGAUAACUACUGGAAACGGUAGCUAAUACCGCAUACCAUCGGAUGUGCCCAGGUGGGAUUAGCUAGUUGGUGGGGUAAUGGCUCACCAAGCCGACGAUCCCUAGCUGGUCUGAGAGGAUGACCAGCCACACGGGAACUGAGAGACGGCCCAGACUCCUACGGGAGGCAGCAGUGGGGAAUAUUGCGCAAUGGGGGCAAGCCUGAUGCAGCCAUGCCGCGUGAGUGAAGAAGGCCUUCGGGUUGUAAAGCACUUUCAGUGAGGAGGCGUUACUCGCAGAAGAAGCACCGGCUAACUCCGUGCCAGCAGCCGCGGUAAUAC